rnacentral:rRNA from 1 species
GACGAACGCUGGCGGCGUGCCUAACACAUGCAAGUCGAACGAGAAGUUCAUUAAUGAUACCUUCGGGUUGAAUUAAUGAAUGGACAGUGGCGGACGGGCGAGUAACGCGUGAGUAACCUGCCCAUAAGUGAGGGAUAGCCCAUGGAAACGUGGAGUAAUACCUCAUAUUGUAUAUUAACUGCAUGGUUGAUAUAUGAAAGAUUUAUCGCUUAUGGAUGGACUCGCGUCUGAUUAGAUAGUUGGUGAGGUAACGGCUCACCAAGUCGACGAUCAGUAGCCGAACUGAGAGGUUGAUCGGCCGCAUUGGGACUGAGACACGGCCCAG